UUUUUUUACAGAUUUUAUUACAUGCUUUAGAUUCAGGGUUAAGGUCAUCCUCUUCUGGAUUACAGUAAAAGAAAAUCCACAGUCAAUGUCAUACUCAUCAGCUGGAGCUUUAUUUAAAAAAAAUGUAUGUUCUCUGCUCCAGCCAAAACGUGCAGAUACCUUGCAGGUCUCUAGCUUGCACUCUUGUAUUGUUGUUUAUUUUGCAGUUAUUUUGUUGCUUUCUGAGAAGGAUGAUCAAGAAACCUUUCAACCCCUCUUCGUUUAGGCCACAUGUCGAAUAUACUUUUCAGUAGCAAACAAGCAGGAAAGUUCUUUGAAGGAACCAGGAUGAGUUGAAAGGUAUUUAUAGUGGUUGGCCAUCUCUGCCACAAUAAUCCUCUGAUUCUCCUGAAGAAUCCUUACAAGCAGGAUGAUGUUGAACACCCUCCUCUUUGUUGCUGGAUCGCAUACCAUGCCAUAUGACAAAGACAUCCACAUCACUUCUGUUUUUUUGUUUUCUUUGCUUCUGCUACUGACCACUCCUCUACAUCACAGACCAAAGUCUUCCAACUGGUUUCCGGUCACUGCCAGUUCCAUGGAUUCUGUUUUGCAACUUGCUUUGCAGAGCUGUUGUGGUCUUCUGAUAUCAACAGGUCAGCAAGAUGGCCAAAUUGUUGAACAUCUGCUAAUUCCAGCACAUGACCAUGAUAGUUACAGUAGCAUGUCUGGUCACUGCAAUCCCUUGACUGAUUCCAGAGUGGUCUUGGCCUUCCUUACAUGGCGGUGCUUCCUGCAGAUCACCAAGUUGUCAUCAAGACUUGAGCUUAUAAUUGAGAUCCUGAUGAUCAAUCUGAGUAUCAAGGUCUCAUGGUGAUAGGCAGAAACAGACUUGUGGAAAACCGCAGUGAACCUUGGGAUCGCAACGAACCUUGGGAUCGCGAGCAUAGACUGUAAAAAAUAGAUCGCCAUAUACAAUG
ensembl:processed_transcript